GUACAGUAUGUUGUGCAACAUCUGGGACCAAUACUUGCUAAUGAAGCAUCUUGCGGCUGUGCUAUAUUUUGUCAACUGAACCUUUAACAAUUCAAAGGAAUCCAUUUUUUAUGAUUUUAUCAUUUUUGGUAGACCACCUGUAGAUAUGCAUGAAAAAUUUAACAUCUAUGGUAAAAACUUGCUAUGAGUAUAUAAAAAUUUAAAAACAAACAUUUUGAAUGUCCUGGGCAUUGAGCCCCUUCAACAUAUUAUGCCUUUGCCUAACCUUUAAACCAUGAGUGAUAAAUCGUUUCUCUAUUUUUCAUAGCAAAAUAAAGGUAACAUGCUUUAACUU